UACAGAGGGUGCGAGCGUUAAUCGGAAUUACUGGGCGUAAAGCGUGCGUAGACGGUCAUACAAGUCGGGUGUGAAAGCCCCGGGCUCAACCUGGGAAUUGCAUUCGAGACUGUAUGGCUAGGGUGCGGAAGAGGGAAGUGGAAUUUCCGGUGUAGCGGUGAAAUGCGUAGAUAUCGGAAGGAACACCAGUGGCGAAAGCGACUUCCUGGUCCGACACCGACGUUCAGGCACGAAAGCGUGGGGAGCAAACAGG
rnacentral:rRNA from 1 species